rnacentral:rRNA from 1 species
CUGAAACAUCUAAGUACCCCGAGGAAAAGAAAUCAACCGAGAUUCCCCCAGUAGCGGCGAGCGAACGGGGAGGAGCCCAGAGCCUGAAUCAGCAUGUGUGUUAGUGGAAGCGUCUGGAAAGGCGCGCGAUACAGGGUGACAGCCCCGUACACAAAAGCGCAUGUGCUGUGAGCUCGAUGAGUAGGGCGGGACACGUGGUAUCCUGUCUGAAUAUGGGGGGACCAUCCUCCAAGGCUAAAUACUCCUGACUGACCGAUAGUGAACCAGUACCGUGAGGGAAAGGCGAAAAGAACCCCGGCGAGGGGAGUGAAAAAGAACCUGAAACCGUGUACGUACAAGCAGUGGGAGCCCCACCACUAAGCCAGUGGUGAACUCCACAUACGCAUCCUUUGCUGAGGAUACGGUUAACGGAGCGAAAGCGACGUUCAACCGCAAAAGAAGCAGAGGGGGCUUAGUGGUGGGGUGACUGCGUACCUUUUGUAUAAUGGGUCAGCGACUUAUAUUCUGUAGCAAGGUUAACCGUAUAGGGGAGCCGUAGGGAAACCGAGUCUUAAC